rnacentral:lncRNA from 1 species
CACUAGUUCCUCUCUUUUCUUAUAUUUUCAAAGUUAUUCAAUAUUUCUCACAAAUUUGAUUGUUUUCUCUUUUCAAUCCUCUUAAUCUCACUUUCCAAAUGUUUCUCUAGCUUUUUAUAAUCUUGGAAGAGGCUUGAGAGUAUGUUUUGACUAUUGGAGAGCUUAGAAUAGCCGUUAGAUACGAAAACUAACUGUUGAAAAAAUAUAGAAAACUAACCGU